rnacentral:rRNA from 1 species
ACGCCAAGAACCUUACCAAGGCAUUGACAUGAACCGGAAAGACGUAGAAAUACGUCCCCCACUUGUGGUCGGUUUACAGGUGGUGCAUGGUUGUCGUCAGCUCGUGUCGUGAGAUGUUGGGUUAAGUCCCGCAACGAGCGCAACCCUCGUUCUAUGUUGCCAGCACGUGAUGGUGGGGACUCAUAGGAUGACUGCCGGGGUCAACUCGGAGGAAGUUGGGGAUGACGUCAAAUCAUCAUGCCCCUUAUGUCUUGGGCUUCACGCAUGCUACAGUGGCCGGUACAAAGGGUUGCGAUACUGUGAGGUGGAGCUAAUCCCAAAAAGCCGGUCUCAGUUCGGAUUGGGGUCUGCAACUCGACCCCAUGAAGUCGGAGUCGCUAGUAAUCGCAGAUCAGCAACGCUGCGGUGAAUACGUUCCCGGGCCUUGUACACACCG